ACCUGGGAUAGCUCAGUCGCUAGAGCAUGAGACUCUUAAGCUCCAUGUCAUGGGUUCGAGCCCUAUGUUGGGCA